ensembl:lncRNA
ACUGGAAUGGCCCCUAAGGAUAAAUACUAAACUUACACAUUAAAUUCCUAUUAAUAACUUUGCAGAUAAUAUCCUGCUAGAAACCACUCUGGUUCUGUAUUUGCUUUUCAGGGUGCAAGGGUUGGAGGGGAGGGUGGAAAUGGGAAAUCAUGGGUUUGUUAUGAAAUUAGAGCCUACCAUUGGCAUCAAGGUGUGGAGGGGGGCUCCUGUUUAGACCCCCACCUCCACCCAGGAUAUCAGAAUUCCCAGAAGGGAGCUGAGGAAACAUGUAAGUUGUAUCCUUCUGGAUAGGAGUUCCAGGAGGGCCUUGUAAGGCCAAGAACAGCUGCUCUAAACAGAGUCAGACUGCUUCAUCUCCAAGAGCUGGAAAGAGGGACCAGAGGAAACUGUAGCCCGGAGAAGGGGCCCCAAGUGUGUCUUGCCUGAAACCACACAGCUGGGUGCUGGCAGGUUCUAGGCUAGAUGCCAGGAUUCCUUGCAAUCUAGACCAGGGAUCUCUCCAGUAACGACCCCAGCCUUGAAUCCUCUACUGACUGGCUUUGAGGAUGGGGGAUUUGCAUCCUGCUGCCAGCUCUGAGACUCACUCCCAGUCUUGGGUCAGUGUCCAGGUUUGCAGACACCAAUGCAAAGGAGGACUGGCGUGUGCAGCUUAUAGGAAUUCAGGAGCCACCUGUUAGCGGGCACCUCUGUCGUGCCAGGCACCAUACUAGGCUUCUGGGCAUCUGGCACAGCACACACGAUUUUAUUUGUUCUUCACCCAAAUACUACAAUGAGAAUCUUCCUGUUUCCACGGUCAUGAGAAGGAGCUCAGCAACACAUUCAGCAUCAGUCAGCGGAAAAGUGUUGGAGCUGGGUUUAAUGCUGAUUCUCUUCGGUUACCUUGCACAUGAGAAUCUUAAAAGAGAAACCAAGUCCCGACACCUCUCCAAGGUUUAGGAAAAGCUAUUAGGGACGAGGCUGGACUGGGACAUCUGUCCACUUGGGAGAAACAGGGCUGCCCUGUGGGGAACCCUAUGUCCCGUGGCUGCUCUGCCCUAGGGUUAGGGUGCUGUGUUGUGGGAGGGUACUAAGUGGCCCUGGCUCCAGGGCUAAGAGGGCCUCUCCUUCUCUUGGUUCCGGGAGCCGUGACUUCACUGUGUGCUACCAGCUGUGGUGAGCAGUAGGGAGAGUCCAGUCCAGUCCUGAGUGCAACCCCCAGAUGGUUGAUCCCGGAGGCCAGGUGCACGAUGGAUGUCUGUAGUUACCAGAGCCUGGCAUUUGGGGGCUCUUGAAUGCAACUCACUAAGGUGAUACUGGAAAGUCUCUCGAGUGCCUUGAGGUUGGUUGUUGGGCAUCUGAGGAGGAGCGCUCAGCCUUAGGAGCAGACAGUCUGGCCUCUGCAGACAUCCUCUGUUCACCCAGGAAGGGGCUGGGCCACCACACUGCAUCCUUCUGCCUGGCCGUCCCCUCCGCCCCUCCUCCACCUUAUAUAAUGGCACAUUAUACAACAUUGCAAAGCAGGUGGUAUUUUUAAAGACAGCAAGUGAGCAUUUUUUUGGCCUAAAUUUGGGAAUGAAACAGAUGGAUUUUUAAGACUCUGAGCUUUUCCUAUGAAUAGUAACCCUUGUUCUCCUCUGCUUUUAAACACCAGUUUCAAGACCACCUCUAGCAACCAAUCAGCACUCUAUUUAAUUAUAACAAAAUUCUUAGCUCUGUCUGCUGCUGCUCGGACAAGUGGGGGGCACUGGAUCAAUUUCUGGAGCCAGGCAGACUUGCCAACAACAAUUUUCUUUUUCCCAGAGGGCCUCGGAGGCCGGCAGCAGGUUCCAAGCCCUUCCUCUCCUGCCCGCUCGGCGUGGGCUCCUUGACAGCGAGUUUGAAAAGGGUUACAGAGAGGCAGAUAAAUGCCCGGCUUGUUGCAGCCUUCCUGACAGCGCCGACCCCCGCGCCAGUGAGCUCAUGCCCGCCUCAUUACGCGUGGUGCCAGAUUUUUUCCAUUAACAGGUAAUUGAGUAGAAACUAAAAUAAGCGAAGUUUGUUCAUCCCUUGGAUUUUCUUGCCGGGGUUUGAAAGAAAAACACUUUAGCUUCGUUAGUGGAGGAGUGUCCUUGAAAACGUAUUUAUGUUUUCCAAGUGAUUUGUCGCUUGGUAGGUGUAAUGAGCCCGUUCCCCUGGCCUCUCCCUUCUUGUUUUUCUUCUUUAAGGGCCAUGAUGUUCAGAGAAUAGGAGCUGGUUUCCUGGGCCCCUGGCUGUCUGUAUGCUCUGUUCAUGGUAGAGAGCUUAUUUUUCUCUCUUCUCUCUCCCUAUUGCACUCGCAUGGUGUGCGUGCACACACACCCUGGAAAAUCACCCAUAGAAGCCUGUUGAUGGAUCACACAGUCUUAGCCUGCAACCUACAGGGCCCAGCUGUCAGGUGCCCUCAGGACGACUGGCCCCGCCCCCAGGGGCCCCAGGCUGGCCCCGCCCCCAAGCGUCCCAGGCCAGCCCCGCCCCCGUCUCCGUGCCCUGCGCCUGCGCGCAGGUGCUCCAGGUGGAUGGCCUGCCCCUCUGAGGGGCAUUCAGAAGCAAAGCGAGGAACAGAUGUGUGAGCCCUGAGGUCUCCAGUCUUCCUGUUUCCCAUCUUGCUGGGCUCCUAUCUCAGCUGGUCUGUUUUCAGCUUCAUGAAGAAGAUUCCUCAUCACUGCCCAGCCCCAAGUUCUCCGUUAGGGUUGGAGCUUCGGAUGAGAUGUGUGUGUGUGUUUGGUACUUGAAAUACAGAGAAAGAGAGAUUGUUCACCCCUCUACACACCUGACAUAGAGGUCUUUGUGAAGGAAAGACAGCUCCAGAAACUUGCGACUUUCGGCUUGAAAACUUAGCUUGCAAGCCUUAGUUCAUUGGCCGUCAAGUGGAAUUAAGACACUGAGCCUGUUUCCGGGAAGCCCAGUGAGAUGGAAAUGCUUGGGCCAGCGACGGACACGUGGAGUCUGUUCCAUGAACACGGGUUGUCAUUACUGCUCCUGUUGCCCUGUGCUGUCUGGGGCAGGAGAGAGAAGGACCCUGACCAAGGGCAGUGUUCUAGGACGAGAAGACCAUGGCCCACAUGAUAUGCUUUUGGAAGGCCGCAAGACUCAAAUUUGCACAGUGCCCCCAAGGCCUAGACCCGUGCCAUGGAAUUGUUCAGGGUGGCCCUGAAGACAUUUCAGUCUCCCCAGACCCCUGUUCAAGCGCAGACACCCCAGGGGAGGGCUGAUGGCUUCAGCCCUCUCAGCUGAGGCCCAGAGAGAGAGAGGCCUUGGGAGGACACAGGUGGGCUCAAGGGCAGGUGAUGUCCCCAGAGCCUGAAACUUGGCCUCUGGCCCCCAUUCCUGAGCCCAGCAUGCAGAUCCACUUUUUUGGCCUUGAAUUAUCCUGGCUAAAGGCAGACAUUGGAAAAGAUUAUUUAUAAAAAGGUCUUGGAACGAGAAAUGAUUUCUAUUUUGCUAAUGCGAUAUUUUUGAGUGAGAAACAGAAAAGAGGGGAUGAAUGGGUGAGGGAGUGAAUGAAGGGCAAGAAACUCAGAAGCUCUUGUAGAUUCAUACAGUUUGUCUUCAAAUCCACCCACCAUUCCAUCUCCUCUUCCUCUUGUUUCAGAGGGACAGUAACUGAGUCUAGUGACCAAGGAGCUGGGCCAGACCACUUC